CCAUGAUUCUCUGUGACUUCAAUUUGAGUCAGUGACAAAAAACGUGGGUGACAUCUUCCUGCCUUUAAUUGCAACAUGGCCAAAGCAAAUCUGCAUGCUCCACUUCAGACCCAUGCAGCCUCUGUUUGUAAGGACUGAAGUGGUAAAUAACAGAGGUUUCUCCCCAGAAAUCAGUUCUGCCCUGAGAUGGUCAGUCUCAUGGGAAAAUGUCUAGGAAUGUUAGCUCUUCCCUUUAACCAUGAGUAUUCACAUAACAGCUUCAAGUCACGCUGUAACACAUUUCAGAGGUAAACUUUCCUCUCUUCUAUGCUGCACAGGAGUGCAAAUUUGCUAAAAGAAAAUAAAAUGCUGUUACCUGACAGCAAGCCCCACUGCUGAUGCUCUUUUCAAUUCCUUUCAGACUGAAGCAUAUAAAUGAAUGCUUAAUCAAGUCAUAAUAUAACUGAAAUGUGGUUAAUGGAGUCUAUCUAUUUCUUUUUGACCCAUGAGAUGUUGAAGUGAAUCCUGCCUGCAGGGUGUAGCAGCAUGUUAGCACACUGCGUGAAGAUCCAAUAGCCAGCAAACAAACAGCAAGCAAAACAGAUUCAUUACUUGCAGAAGUUAUGCAUGCAGCAAACUUUGUUUUGCAACUAAUUAAGACUUCAUGCAAAAAGGGUGUCACAUCCUCCAGGCAAUUUGACUAAGUGUAUAAAAGCAUUUGCUACGUAGAACUCUCCUAAUCACUUUUCUUAAACUCUUCUCCUUGGUGAUCCGGGUCUGGAUCCAUCCCAUGUCGCCCUUCGAUGAGUGCUGCCUGCCACCAGGGGUUGUAUGCCCCGAGCCCUUUGCCCUCACCUCCAAUGAGACCUGUGUUAUAAAGUACCCCGACACGAUAGUGGACAUAGUGGAGCCCGACUCGCCACCGUAUUCUGUGAUCUAUCCAGGCCCAACACUCACCACUUUUCCUCAGCAAACCAUAGUGGGAACUACUGCGCUCUUUGAUAUCAGCAACUUGCUUGGUUCCAGGGGAUCUCUUGGGUUCAGGGGCAUGAGUGGUUCUGGGACAGCAUGUAACUCAGGAUUAUCGUUUUUUGAUUCAGGAAGCGGGAAUCCUUUGUCUCCUCACUUCUCCAAACCAUUGUGUUUUGGAACUUGUAGGCCAACCUAAAUCCUUGGAUAUUUGUGCUGGAUUAAGUAAAAUACCAGAACUGAAAAAGACAGAUCACGACUAAGUUUAUGGACGAUGGAUUGUAGAAGUGCUGAGCUCCCGCAGCUCCCAUUGGAGUCAAUAAGGGAAUGGCUUCCCAGCAUUAAACCUACAUGAGGACCAGAAUUUCCAAACAAGAAAUUGAAAAUUGGUUAUUGGUCUUAUUCAAAAUUCAGAUGAAAAAGAAUUCUCCGAGAAACAAGAUUUUCAAAAAUAAAUUUCCUGAUUUGAUAAGCCUAUAUUUCUGAAUAAAUUCAAAUUUUUAUGCCAACAUUGAUGUUUAUUAUCAAUUCCUCUUGAAAAAAAAAUUUAAAAAAUUGUAAAAUAACUUCCUAAAAUUAUACAACUGAAAAUCUUGGGUACCAAAAUGAAAUUUUUAACUGAAAUUGACAUUCACUUGUAUACUUUGCUGAACCCGGAUUUACCAUCAAUAAUAAUAAUAAUAAUAAUAGUAAUCAGCUCUUAGGCAUUUGUAAGUCUUUCUUACGCUCUACUUCUGCUUAGAACCAUAAUGCAUAAUGUAACGAUUUAACAGCUUAUUUCUCUACUUAUAUGAGCUUAUAUCUCAUUUGAUGCAAACCAGGGCAAAGCAAAACAAAACCCAAUAACUUCAAGUAACUGUAAUAGAAGAUUUCAUUGUAAAAUACUCAUGAUUAAAGAAAAAAAAAAGAACAACCUAUGCAGUGCCAUGUAACUGGAAAUUCAUUGUAGACCCUCAUGAAGUCCUGGAACUCUUCUGCUUAUAUCCUAUCCACCUCAUUUUGCACAUGUAUACUCAGCUUCUCAUUUGCAUUAAACAUUAUCAUGCAGCA